rnacentral:rRNA from 1 species
GCUCAAAUUUAAAAUCUGGUAGUCUCUGGCUGCCCGAGUUGUAAUCUAGAGAAGCGUUAUCCGCGCUGGACCGUGUACAAGUCUCCUGGAAUGGAGCGUCAUAGAGGGUGAGAAUCCCGUCUUUGACACGGACUACCAGGGCUUUGUGAUGCGCUCUCAAAGAGUCGAGUUGUUUGGGAAUGCAGCUCUAAAUGGGUGGUAAAUUCCAUCUAAAGCUAAAUAUUGGCGAGAGACCGAUAGCGAACAAGUACCGUGAGGGAAAGAUGAAAAGAACUUUGGAAAGAGAGUUAAACAGUACGUGAAAUUGUUGAAAGGGAAACGCUUGAAGUCAGUCGCGUUGGCCGGGGAUCAACCUUGCUUUUGCUUGGCGUAUUUUCCGGUUGACGGGUCAGCAUCAAUUUUGACCAGUGGAAAAAGGUUAGGGGAAUGUGGCAUCUUCGGAUGUGUUAUAGCCCUUGGUCAUAUACAUUGGUUGGGAUUGAGGAACUCAGCACGCCGCAAGGCCGGGUUUUAACCACGUUCGUGCUUAGGAUGCUGGCAUAAUGGCUUUAAUCGACCCGUCUUGAAACACGGACCAAGGAGUCUAACAUGCCUGCGAGUGUUUGGGUGGAAAACCCGAGCGCGUAAUGAAAGUGAAAGUUGGGAUCCCUGUCGUGGGGAGCACCGACGCCCGGACCAGACCUUCUGUGACGGUUCCGCGGUAGAGCAUGUAUGUUGGGACCCGAAAGAUGGUGAACUAUGCCUGAAUAGGGUGAAGCCAGAGGAAACUCUGGUGGAGGCUCGUAGCGAUUCUGACGUGCAAAUCGAUCGUCGAAU